UGCUAGUCGAACGAGUUCACACUCGUGGCAGAUAGCUCAGUAACACGUGGCCAAGCUACCCUUCAGUCGGCAAUACCCUCGGGAAACUGAGGCUAAUGGCCGAUAUGAAACAGUCGCUGGAAUGCACUGUUUUCUAAAGACACCGCUGAAGGAUGCGGCUGCGGCCGAUUAGGUAGACGGUGGGGUAACGGCCCACCGUGCCAGUAAUCGGUACGGGUGAUGAGAGUCAGAGCCCGGAGACGGAAUCUGAGACAAGAUUCCGGGCCCUACGGGGCGCAGCAGGCGCGAAACCUUUACACUGCACGCAAGUGCGAUAAGGGGACUCCGAGUGCGAGGGCAUAUCGUCCUCGCUUUUCUGUACCGUAGGGUGGUACAGGAACAAGGACUGGGCAAGACCGGUGCCAGCCGCCGCGGUAAUACCGGCAGUCCGAGUGAUGGCCAAUCUUAUUGGGCCUAAAGCGUCCGUAGCCGGCCUCGAAAGUCCGUCGGGAAAUCCACUGGCUCAACCAGUGGGCGUCCGGCGGAAACUUCGAGGCUUGGGACCGGAAGGCUCGAGGGGUACGUCCGGGGUAGGAGUGAAAUCCUGUAAUCCCGGACGGACCACCGAUGGCGAAAGCACCUCGAGAAGACGGAUCCGACGGUGAGGGACGAAAGCUAGGGUCUCGAACCGGAUUAGAUACCCGGGUAGUCCUAGCCGUAAACGAUGUCCGCUAGGUGUGGCACU
rnacentral:rRNA from 1 species